GCAGUGGUAGUUCAGUGGUAGAAUACUCACCUUUCAUGAGGAAGACCCAGGUUCAAUUCCUGGCCAAUGUA
rnacentral:tRNA from 1 species